rnacentral:rRNA from 1 species
UGCCAGCAGCCGCGGUAAUACGGGGGGUGCAAGCGUUGUUCGGAAUUAUUGGGCGUAAAGCGUGCGUAGGCGGACUAUUAAGUCUGAUGUGAAAUCCCUCGGCUCAACCGAGGACCUGCAUUGGAUACUGGUAGUCUUGAGUCCCGGAGAGGAUAGCGGAAUUCCUAGUGUAGAGGUGAAAUUCGUAGAUAUUAGGAGGAACACCAGUGGCGAAAGCGGCUAUCUGGACGGUGACUGACGCUGAGGCACGAAAGCAUAGGUAGCAAACAGGAUUAGAUA